rnacentral:rRNA from 1 species
GGACCCGCACAAGUAGUGGAGCAUGUGGUUUAAUUCGAAGAUACGCGCAGAACCUUACCAACACUUGACAUGUUCGUCGCGACUUUGAGAGAUCAAAGUUUUCGGUUCGGCCGGACGAAACACAGGUGCUGCAUGGCUGUCGUCAGCUCGUGUCGUGAGAUGUUGGGUUAAGUCCCGCAACGAGCGCAACCCUCACUUUUAGUUGCCAUCAUUAAGUUGGGCACUCUGAAAGAACUGCCAGUGAUAAGCUGGAGGAAGGUGGGGAUGACGUCAAGUCCUCAUGGCCCUUACGUGUUGGGCUACACACGUGCUACAAUGGUAUCUACAACAGGAAGCAAAACCGCGAGGUUAAGCAAAUCCUUAAAAGAUACCUCAGUUCGGAUUGCACUCUGCAACUCGAGUGCAUGAAGCUGGAAUUACUAGUAAUCG